CCACCAAACGACAGAGGAAGACGACGUCGUAAAGAGAGCGGUCGCCGCUUUGUUGUUGCUCUCUCUCGCAUCCCAUCGCCGGAGCCAUUUCCUUGUAAGACAAGUCCAUUCCAAUCCGAUCCGAUCUCUCGUUUCCUUUCGAAAUUCAGACUAUUUUCUUUGCUUUGAUUCUCGAAUUUUCCUUUAUACUUCCAUCCCGAGAAAAAGCCGCCGGCUGAAGAAGCAUUGUUGCAGCACAAGCAACUCGAAAUUGGGAUUACGGCCGAUUUCGAUUUGCAGGGUUUUGAUUGAAGUUGCUGGGGGAUAGUGUGUACAGUGUUGGAUUGAAGUAGUUUGGUUAUUGUGUUGAAUUGAAGUUUGUUUAGGUCUUUAACUGUAGAUAGAUAGAGAGACAGACAUAGAGAGAGAGAGAGAGAGAGAGAGAGGAGAGAGAGAGAGUUUGGCAAAAAUUAGGGUUAGGGUUUAUGAUGGUAGAUUGAUCGAUAAUGGUGCGGCUACUGGGAUUGACUCGUUCUGAAUCGGAGCCUCGGGAGAUCACGAGAACCAAUCUGACGAGUGAGAGCGCCGGAGGAGAUAAUGGGUGGCUCAUUCGCUUCUUCGAUUCGGCUUUCUUCUGCGAGUGGAUUGCUGUUAGUUAUCUCUACAAGCAUGAUCACCCGGGCGUUCGCGAUUACCUUUGCAAUCGAAUGUACAACUUGCCGUUAAACGGCAUAGAGAGCUACUUGUUUCAGAUAUGCUAUAUGUUGGUUCACAAGCCCAGCCCCUCCUUGGACAAGUUCGUCAUCGAUAUCUGCUCUAAGUCGCUUCAAAUAGCGCUAAAAGUGCACUGGUUUUUGAUUGCGGAGCUUGAGGACUCCGAUGACAAUGAGGGGAUCAGUAGAAUUCAGGAUAAGUGUCAGAUUGCAGCAACAUUGAUGGGCGAAUGGCAACCAUUAAUUAGGCCCCAGAAUGCAUCUGCCAGUGGCAUGAGCAAGAAUCAGGUUCUCAACAAGUUACUAUCGUCGAAGCAGCGAUUAUUGUCCCUAACAUCAUCACCACCGGCUCAAAAGCCUUUAUCCUUCUCGCCUUCAUCUGGGAACUCCUUGCAUGAUGAUGGGGAUAAGGCAUCCCCCGAUGAGAACAAGAUUUUCAAGAAAUUCAUUUCGGGUCCAAAAGUACGGGAUUCAUUCUUUUUCAGGAAAUCAGUAGAAAAAGAUGAUGACGAAUUGGAGAAGGAUAGUUUUUUUCGGAGGCUAUUAAGAGACAGUAGGGAUGAAGACAGUAGGAAAAUGGAUAAAGAUGAAGAGGAUUCAGAGAAGGAUGGUUUCUUCAGAAGGUUUUUGAGGGAUAGUAGGGAUGAGGAUGGGGAUCUCACAUCAAGCUCAGAAGGAUUUUUGAAGCGGUUAUUUCGUGAUAGUAAAAGUGAUUCCGAGCAAAAAGUUACCUCAAAGUCUAUAGAAGAUGAGGAAAAGGAUGGUUUUUUCCGUAAGUUCUUUAAGGAAAAGUUUGAGGAUAAAAAUGAUGGGAUUAUUAGAAACGAUGAAGAAGAAAAAGGGUUGAAGUCUGGAGAAGAGGAUGGGAAAGAAGGGUUCUUCCGAAAAUUCUUCAAGGAAAAAUUUGAGGACAAGAAAGAUGGUAAUGAGAGGACAGAUGAUGCAGGAAAGGGACAGGCUAAUGGUGAUGAAGAAGAAUCCUCAGACUUUUCUUUGUUUCGUAGAUUGUUUCGCGUGCACCCAGAAGACUCAAAGACUAUGCCAUCAAAUGAAAGCAACAUAAGUGGCAAUUUUCCUGAAAGCAGCCCUGGGACAGAAAAAUUUUUUCGCAGGCUGUUUAGAGAUCGUGAUCGUACUGCGGAAGACUUGGAGCUUUUUGGUCCAAAGAAGCAGAAAGAGAAGUGCCCUGGCUCACCAAAGGAGCGGGAUGAAAAGUCUAAUGCUAAGCCUCCACUUCCAAAUAAUCCUGUAUCACAGUUCCGCAAAGGGACGUAUCAUGAAUCACUUGACUUUGUGCAAUCACUAUGUGAGACAUCAUAUGGCUUAGUAGAUGUAUUUCCAAUUGAAGAUCGGAAAAGUGCACUCCGUGAGUCGCUCAUGGAGACCAAUGCGCAUGUGGCUGCUGCUCAGGAUAGUGGUGGAGUGUGCUUUCCAAUGGGAAAGGCGGCGUGUCGUGUUGUUAAUAUACCUGAAGAUGAAGCUAUUCUUUUAAAUUCAAGAGAGAAGGCACCUUAUUUGAUCUGUGUUGAAGUCUUGAGAAGUGAAAUGCCAAGUAACAAUGCCAAGGAUGCAUCCAAUACUCAAAAGCUUUCUAAAGGAGGAAUUCCCCUAGCAAAUGGAGACGCACUGUUGCCAAAGCCUCCACCGUGGGCUUAUCCAUUAUGGACUGCACAGGAAAUUUACCAUAGUGGUUAUGAUAGGAUGUCAAGAUCAACUUCACAGGCAAUUGACCAGGCAAUGGCUCAACUGUGGGAUGCCAGAGUGAAAUUUGUUGAUGUGAGUCUUUCUGUGGAGACGCAAUUACCUUGUCAGGCAAAGAGAAUGGAAAUGCCGAAUUCAAACUGUGGCAUCCAGUUUCAUGGCAUCCAGUGUGGUUCAGGUCCAUUGGAAAUUCUAUCAAAUAAUUGUCAUGAUGGCGUUCUAUGUCAUGCUUCAGAAGAACAUGCUAGCAGUAUGGAAUGGGUGAGGGUGGUAUUGACAGCUGAUCCUGGGGUUAGCAUGGAUGAUGUAGUGGAUCAAGAACCAACUCGUAAGAAGGAGCACCGCCGUGUCCCAAGUACAGUAGCUAUUGAGGAAGUAAAGGCUGCCACAUUAAAGGGAGAAGCACCUCCCGGACUCCCUCUGAAAGGGGCUGGUCAGGAUUCUUCAGAUGACCAACCAAAAGUUACAUGUGGUGGUGCCCCCAAGCCUAGUGAUGCAUUGUCUGGGGAACUUUGGCUAGUAAAGAAAGAAAGAAUAAAGAAAGCCUCAGUUCAUGGAAAAUUACCUGGUUGGGACUUGCGUUCUGUUAUUGUAAAGAGUGGUGAUGAUUGUCGGCAGGAGCAUCUUGCAGUUCAACUUAUUUCUCACUUCUAUGAUAUAUUCCAGGAAGCAGGUCUGCCUCUUUGGUUGCGUCCUUAUGAAGUCCUAGUUACCUCUUCUUACACAGCACUCAUUGAAACAAUUCCCGAUACGGCCUCAAUUCACUCUAUCAAAAGUAGAUUUCCAAACAUUACAAGUUUACGUGACUUCUUUGCUGCCAAGUAUCAGGAAAAUUCUCCAAGUUUUAAGCUUGCCCAGAGGAAUUUUGUUGAAAGUAUGGCUGGCUAUUCCCUAGUUUGUUACCUUCUCCAGGUUAAGGAUCGGCAUAAUGGUAACCUUUUGUUGGAUGAAGAAGGCCACAUCAUACACAUUGAUUUUGGCUUCAUGCUCUCUAAUUCACCUGGAGGUGUCAAUUUUGAGAGUGCACCAUUUAAAUUAACUCGAGAACUUCUUGAGGUCAUGGAUUCUGAUGCUGAGGGGAGUCAAAGCGAGUUCUUUAACUAUUUCAAAGUUCUAUGCAUUCAAGGUUUCCUAACAUGCCGUAAGCAUGCAGAGCGCAUAAUUCUUCUUGUUGAGAUGUUGCAGGUAAAGUCAGGAUUCUGGUUUCCCAUGUUUUAAAGGUGGUCCACGGACAAUUCAGAACUUGAGGAAACGAUUUCAUCUAAGUUUAACAGAAGAGCAAUGCGUGUCUUUGGUGCUUUCUCUAAUCAGCAGCAGUUUAGAUGCAUGGAGGACAAGACAAUAUGAUUAUUAUCAAAGGGUAUUAAAUGGAAUAUUGUGAGAUUGGAUAGGUCUUGACUACAUGAUAAUUGACAUGGAAAGCCAGUUUAUGAAUCUUUUCUGCAAGAAUUGCAUUGAAGCGCUGUUUUAUAUAUGUGAGCAGUUGAUUCAUCAGCAACCAAUUUUGUCAAGGGCUAAAGUGUUAUUAUAGCAGUUAAGCUUGUCUUUUAUUGGUGGAGGAGUUUGUAAUUGCAUCGGCACAAAAAACUUGGUGAAGUCUUCCAGGCAAAAACCAAUUCAGCAGAAAUUCUUUGCCUCUUUUCUUUCUUUCUUUCUUUCUUCUUAACCUCCCUUCCAAGAAAGAAUUUGCUGGUUGAAGGGGAUUUUGCUGAAAUGUAACUUGAAGCUGACAUGCAGCCUUUCUACCCGGUGUUUGUGUAGCACAUAUUGUACAGUGAGCUAUUAUAUGGAGGGAAAAGAAUUAGGUGUGGGACGUCUGCAAGCACCGUGUCUGUGUGUGCGUGUUGAGAGAUCAAGGCAUCCGCUGUCCCAUGUCUGAAGCUGCAAAAUGCUCCGCAAUUUGUACAUCUAUCUUCAGAUGAAUCCUUGACCUCUCAGAUCCAUAGGAAACGUGAGAUUAUGUUUCUUCUUGGUUUCUGCCUUCUGAUGGCAUCAUCUGUCGUGGGGGGCUUUGAUUCACCAAACUUGCAGUAGAAUUUGGAAAUUACUUAAGAGAGGGCCGUUGGUUGUAGUGUGUAUAAUAAUCUCCGUUGGUCACAGUUAAUACAUUUUUGGUUCUUGUGCUUAGUGUUGGGAGGUUGGUGGUGUUGAUUUGUGAUGCCCAUUUUUUGUAUGGAAUUUGUUGUGACUUUUAGUGUCUUUUUAUGUAUAAACUGGGUUCUUGUAUGUAGAGUCGGUGAAGAUUCAGUGAAACCAACGCAUUGGCUGGUUGGACAUGUACUUCACUGAGGUUUUGAAUGGUGUUACUAUUUUCUGUAUUUAAAAGAAAAAAGAAAGUCUAUUAUUGUGUCA